GCGUGUCGCCUCAUCUUUAUGCGUGUGAAAAGAAUAGGCUACGUUCGAUACAAUUAAUGCAAAAGAUAAUGACAAACUCAACUGUGAAGAAGAGAUCAACUCCGAUUGCUUGAUGGACUGAAACCGUAUUGACCAAUGGCACCGACAGUCGAUCAAACAUCGGAGUCAUGGCCGGUGGCUCACCAAACGCACUAUGUGGCGACAAAUGAUUUCUAAACAUGUCUGAUUAAUUUUGGACUAUCACGGUAUUUAGGUGGAGGCUACUGUCCGUGAGCGAAGUUGACAUUUCAUGAAUGAUGCCAGUUCUGUUUGGAAUCAUACUUCUGUUUUGGUUAGUGGAUGAGUGCACAGCUUCCAAGAACUACUGCUGGUAUUUUGAAGGAGGCUACUCCAUCCAUUUAAUAUGCCGAUCGUAUGAGGACUGUUGUGGGACACGGUGCUGUGUCAGAGCCCUCUCCAUCCAGAGACUAUGGCACUUCUGGUGAUUCAGCUUAGCUCAGUGCUUUUUGUGGUGGUGGGGCACCCAUAUGUGGUGGUGGGGCAUCACACAUCCCCAUAUGCUCCAUUCACCACUUAAACUUACUCAACAGUGAUCCCAUCAUUGAUCUGAGCGCAACUGUUAAUCUGGGUCACGGCACCACUGUAAACGACGUCACGCUGCUUGCUUAGCUGCUGCUGAUGAUGGGUGUGUUGUUCUGCUGUGGGGCGGGGUUCUUCAUCCGCAGAUGCAUGUACCCCUCCCCCUUCCUGAAGACACCUUUAAUGUGGCAUUCACCAGACACCCAAUGACAGCUCCAGGACUGCAGCAGGCCAGCAUGCAGAACUAUGGGGACCCAGGAGGGAUGAUCCUCACCCCUACCUUCCCCUACAGCCCCCAUCCCUAUCCCUCCCACUUGGCAGCACCUUACCCACACCCAACCCCUCCUGCUUACUGCAACCUCCCUCCUCCACCCUAUGAACAGGUGCUGCAGGCCUCGGAGAAGAGGUAACCUGGAGGAAAGACAUUGGAAUUAAUGAAAUGAUUUCAAACCCUUCAGAGUUCCCAACGCCGCCACAACUGGCAGCAAAGCGAGAGAGAGUUCUCUGCACGUCAAUAAGGAAGGGUCACUAUCCUACAUUUUGACUCAUGGGUAAAAAGCGAGUCUGAUAUUGUAGACUACUAGACUAUGGAAAAGCAUCUCUACAUUAAAAACAUCUCAUUAAGGGACGCUGGCCCUGGACCAAAAAGCAUGCAUUUAAAUAGCUUUUUAGUCCGGGACUAGGCUUAAUCUGUGUCUGAGAAACCAGCCCCGAAAGCAGCUUCAGUCUGUACCACAAUGAAUCGGUGUCAAAGUGUUUGUUUUGACGUCACCUCUCGAAGAGACCCAACAGGAUAAAAACAGACAUGGAUUCAGAAAGAGAGGUGCUCUGUCAACAACACUGUGUCAGCUGGAAGAGCAGCAUCUAUCUGAGCACAACUCACUCAGAUCACCCACUCAGGAUACUGUAUUAUCGCCCACUGUCUGGUAUGUGUUUAAUAUUACUGCGGUUGGAGCAUUUAGUAUCUCUAGUUGAGGAACAAGUUUACUGUAGAUCAGAAGCCUGUAAUGCUGUGGACAUACUAUAGUCAUGGCAAAUCAGUUUAGCUUUGUCUCUUAAUUCAUUUUGGUGCAUGACUUUCCUCUAUAUUUUAUGCAAUUUGCGAAUGAAUUCAGGUAUAGUGUGGUCAUUGUUUCAAAAAUAAAACACAAAAAAAAUCACAGUAUCCUGAAUUAACAGAGGGUAAAUAUAUCACCAGCUUGCCUAAUAAAGUGA